AUUGAACGCUGGCGGCAUGCCUUACACGUGCAAGUCGAACGGCAGCACGGAGCUUGCUCUGGUGGCGAGUGGCGAACGGGUGAGUAAUAUAUCGGAACGUACCCUAGAGUGGGGGAUAACGUAGCGAAAGUUACGCUAAUACCGCAUACGAUCUAAGGAUGAAAGUGGGGGAUCGCAAGACCUCAUGCUCGUGGAGCGGCCGAUAUCUGAUUAGCUAGUUGGUAGGGUAAAAGCCUACCAAGGCAUCGAUCAGUAGCUGGUCUGAGAGGACGACCAGCCACACUGGAACUGAGACACGGUCCAGACUCCUACGGGAGGCAGCAGUGGGGAAUUUUGGACAAUGGGCGAAAGCCUGAUCCAGCAAUGCCGCGUGAGUGAAGAAGGCCUUCGGGUUGUAAAGCUCUUUUGUCAGGGAAGAAACGGUGAGAGCUAAUAUCUCUUGCUAAUGACGGUACCUGAAGAAUAAGCACCGGCUAACUACGUGCCAGCAGCCGCGGUAAUACGUAGGGUGCAAGCGUUAAUCGGAAUUACUGGGCGUAAAGCGUGCGCAGGCGGUUUUGUAAGUCUGAUGUGAAAUCCCCGGGCUCAACCUGGGAAUCGCAUUGGAGACUGCAAGGCUAGAAUCUGGCAGAGGGGGGUAGAAUUCCACGUGUAGCAGUGAAAUGCGUAGAUAUGUGGAGGAACACCGAUGGCGAAGGCAGCCCCCUGGGUCAAGAUUGACGCUCAUGCACGAAAGCGUGGGGAGCAAACAGGAUUAGAUACCCUGGUAGUCCACGCCCUAAACGAUGUCUACUAGUUGUCGGGUCUUAAUUGACUUGGUGACGCAGCUAACGCGUGAAGUAGACCGCCUGGGGAGUACGGUCGCAAGAUUAAAACUCAAAGGAAUUGACGGGGACCCGCACAAGCGGUGGAUGAUGUGGAUUAAUUCGAUGCAACGCGAAAAACCUUACCUACCCUUGACAUGGCUGGAAUCCCCGAGAGAUCAGGGAGUGCUCGAAAGAGAACCAGUACACAGGUGCUGCAUGGCUGUCGUCAGCUCGUGUCGUGAGAUGUUGGGUUAAGUCCCGCAACGAGCGCAACCCUUGUCAUUAGUUGCUACGAAAGGGCACUCUAAUGAGACUGCCGGUGACAAACCGGAGGAAGGUGGGGAUGACGUCAAGUCCUCAUGGCCCUUAUGGGUAGGGCUUCACACGUCAUACAAUGGUACAUACAGAGCGCCGCCAACCCGCGAGGGGGAGCUAAUCGCAGAAAGUGUAUCGUAGUCCGGAUUGUAGUCUGCAACUCGACUGCAUGAAGUUGGAAUCGCUAGUAAUCGCGGAUCAGCAUGUCGCGGUGAAUACGUUCCCGGGUCU
rnacentral:rRNA from 1 species